AUUGAACGCUGGCGGCAUGCUUUACACAUGCAAGUCGAACGGUAACAGGCCUUCGGGUGCUGACGAGUGGCGAACGGGUGAGUAAUGCAUCGGAACGUACCCAGAGGUGGGGGAAAAGGAAGCGAAAGCGGGGCUAAAACGCCAGGGGAUCUGAGGAGGAAGCGGGGGGACGGGGCAGCAUGUUUUGGCCUCGGGCCUUGGAACGGGCCGAUGUCGGAUUAGCUAGUUGGUGGGGUAAAGGCCUACCAAGGCGACGAUCCGUAGCUGGUCUGAGAGGACGACCAGCCACACUGGGACUGAGACACGGCCCAGACUCCUACGGGAGGCAGCAGUGGGGAAUUUUGGACAAUGGGCGCAAGCCUGAUCCAGCAAUGCCGCGUGCGGGAAGAAGGCCUUCGGGUUGUAAACCGCUUUUGGCAGGAACGAAACGGUGUCCGCUAAUACCGGGCGCUAAUGACGGUACCUGCAGAAUAAGCACCGGCUAACUACGUG
rnacentral:rRNA from 1 species